rnacentral:rRNA from 1 species
UACGUAGGCAGCGAGCGUUGUUCGGAAUUACUGGGCGUAAAGAGUGUGUAGGCGGUGCUCUAAGUUCGGUGUGAAAUCUCCCGGCUUAACUGGGAGGGUGCGCCGGAAACUGGAGUGCUCGAGCGUGGGAGAGGAAAGCGGAAUUCCUGGUGUAGCGGUGAAAUGCGUAGAUAUCGGGAGGAACACCAGUGGCGAAGGCGAUCAUCUGGGGCUGUUCUGACACUGAGGAGCGAAAGCUAGGGGAGCAAACGGG